rnacentral:pre_miRNA from 1 species
UGCCGCUUGACGUUCUCUUCAUUCCACUUGCGACCGGCCUCGGGCGAACCGUGACCCCGAGGUCAGUCGCAAGUGGAAUGAAGAGAACGUCAAGUGGCA